CAAACUCCUGGCCUCAAGUGAUUCUCUGGCCUCAGCUUCCCAGAGUGCUAGGAUUACAGGUGUGAGCCACCACCCCAGGGUUCCCUAAGUUUGUGGCAAGCUAAUUUGACUCCAAAACCUGAAUUAAGUGAGAUGAGCCUACUUAAGGGUCUUUAUCUCACACUUGGAACUUUUUUUAUGUUGGUGACAGAAUCAUUAAUACAUAUGAAUAUGGGUUGCUGUGCUAGAUUCACCUGGGAUGUUACAUAUAUAUAUAUAUAUGGUAUUACUUUCUAAAAUCCAAAAAAAAUUCUGAGUUGUGUGACAUAUCUGGCUCAUAAAUUUAGAAUAGGGGGUUGUGAACUUGUUUUAUUACUCCAUUUUCUAAAUGACAAGAUGGAUGCUAGAAGAUGCUAAGUAAAUUGCCAGGCUUGUAAAUAGCAUUUUAAAAUGUUAAGUAAUUUACUCAGGUAAUGCAUGGUAAAGUCAUAUCAAAUGCAGUAGUCUUGCUCCAGAGCCUGUACAUUAAACUACAUUGUUUUACUAACUAGUUUCCCAAGGUAACAUUGAACACUAGAAUCAAUGUCUUGAAGUGACACAUUUGUUGAUCUUUACUAGUAGUGGGAGCAUAUACCUGAAUAUCUAUAUUGGAAGAUAAUCCCUUUAUAAUUUGUGUUGGGGGACGGAAUUUUAUUCUUUUCUAAGUAUCUUGGGUAUGGAUGUGUCCUACUAUAGAAUUUCCCUAAGUAUAAUGGAGCCUACCCACUAAGAUCUGACUCAAGUAGAAAACUAUCCAGUUUCCCUGUUGUCCACUUCUUUUCCUUCUUUUGUAUUAUCAGUGUCUCACUCAGUGCCAUAAAUUGCUUACUUUGACUUUAUUCAACAAAUAUUUAUUUAAUGCCCUCUAUGUAGUAGGCUAAAAAUACAACAUUGAACAAGAAAAUCAUGGUCCCUGUCUUGACAGGGACAAUAUUGUUGAAGAUGGGACAGUCCUUGGUGGGGACCUCAUGUUGUAGUAUAUUUAGCUUCUCUGGGCAAAAUGGCAUUAGAACCACUUCUUUCCCACCAUCAUUGUGACAACCAAAAUGGCCCUAAACAUUCCCCAAAGUGCCCUGGUGGGAAGUAGGGCAGUGGUAUGUCUGGAUGAUAUUCAGGCUCAGUCCUGAGGGUAGUUGCCCACUGGCCUGCUCAUCCACUAUCCAAGUUGAAUAAUUUAUUUUAAGCAUUUCUUUUGCUAGAAUCCUGGCACACGAAGUAAAUAGCUGAGAGAUUUACAAAGUAAAUAACUAAAUUUCUUAUACUCUGAGUACAAUGGCUAAACUCAAAAGCAAGAGUGGUUGUACCCAUGGCUUCUACCCAUGUACCAUGUACCAUGGGUUCUACCCAUGGCUAAUUGAGAAUUCCCAUUAUACUGUGUAAAUAACAAGCAUAAGUAAAUAAGCUCCCAAGUUAACAUACCAAGUGAUGCUGGAUUUUUUUCAGUUAUAGAAUCAAAGUCUGUGGGCUCUUCCAUUUGCAGGUUAUUCCUCAGAGAUAUAUAAUAUAGCACAGUUAUGCCAAAUGUAUCUUGUAACACUUAAACAUUUCUGUUUCACUUUCAUUUUUUAAGUGACAUUUUUAAAGAAAAUACAAAUUCUAAUACAUGUGAAUUGAAACAACUAUAAAGGUUUUAUGAUUUUGAGUUUGCCAUUUAAGGAGGAAUAAAAUGUAAAUCUUCAUUCAGUGUUCAUAUCAACUACUGCUUCGGCAGUAUUUUAUAUUAAAAGUAAUAGCAUUUGAAGGUUCACAGAACCUCAUGCUUAUGAUGGUUGACAUAAUUUUAAAUAAAAAUAUUUUAUUGUUGUUAUUCUUAUAAAAAUUAAAUGUCCUUUUAUAUAAAGCAUUCAGAAAAUAUAGAAAGGUACAAAGAAGAAAGUAAAAAAAACCUGCUCAGAGAUUACUGCACAUCUGCUCACAGGAUUACUGUCACAUCUUCUUGGGCUUUCUUUCUUUGAGUGCAUAUGUGCUGACUCUGGCGCUCUUGGAUAUCCUUGUGCUCAUGUGUGUGUGUGCUGCCUUUUCUGCUAGAAACACAAAAAUUCACGGACUUUUUUAUAAAAAUUGUGUCAUGCCAUUGUUUUUUUACUUUGAUACUCAUAUCUUGAACAUCCUUUCAUGGUAAUGAAUGAAAUUUUAUAUCUUUUUAUAAGAUAUUAUGUGAAUGUAUCAUAAUUACAGUUUUCUUUGGACAUCUAGAUAGUAUCCUGUAUGCUAUUUUGACAUUAUGAUUAAUUAUUGUAUGUGCAUCUUUGUGCAACUGUCCAAUUAUUUCCUUUAUAUGAAUUCUUAGGGGUGGAAUUACUGAGUUAAAAUGCUGUAUACAUUUUAAAUGUUUUUAUCAAUUACCACAUUGUCUCUAGAAAGAUUAUACUAUUUCAUACUCCCAACAAUAGUGUUUUAAUGAUUCUUUUCUUUGCUUGAUCUCUGAACACUCAGUAUGAUCAAUCUUUAUAAUUUUUUUGAUUUUUGCCAAUCAGAUAGUUUAAAAAAUCUCAUUUGGACUUGUAUUUGUUUGAUAACUAAUGACAAAAAUACUUCUAAAAGUAUAUAUAUUAGCUUUUCAUAUUUCUUUUGUUGAUUUGCCAUUUAUAUCUUUAAUCUAUUUUUCUGUUGGACAGUUUCUUUUCCUCUUCCUCCUUUUACAUUUCAAGAUCUCUUCAUAAUAUAAGGAUAUGAAAAUUUAUCAUUCACACUAUGCAUAAUUUUGCCAUUAAAAAUUUGUUUUUUUGUUUUAGUGAUUUUUUUUGGUAUGCAAAUGUAUCUUUUUUUUUUUUUUUGCUUCGUUUUUCCAGUUUGUGUCUCCACAUUAUAACAUGACCAUUAUAACCCAAAGUUAGGUUAAAGAUUAGAUGUUUAAAACAACAAAGGUAUUUUUCAGAUGGGAAACCAUUUUGUGGAUGAGAAAGGUGACAAAUUGCCCAUGUUAAUUAGAUAUGUUUGCUGUGAUUAUAGUUUUAAUAGCUGCUUAUAAAAACAAGGAUUGUGAGAAAGAAAUACUUUUAUAUAGUUGAAAGACUUCUUGCAUUAAAAUGAGAUAGCCCUGGCUUUAUUCUUUAAAUUACACAACAGAUAUUUAUCAAGUGCCUGUUAUACAUUAGACAUUAGUAAUGGAUUUUCCACUUACAAGAUUUGUGACUAUGGGCAAGUUAAUUAAAGUAGCCAAGUCUGUUUUUUUAUUUGUAAAAGAGGGAUAAUACAUACCUUAUUGAGUUAUUAUAAGGGUUAGUUAUAGUUUGCCAAAAGUAUCUAGCAGUACCUGACAUAUAAUUGGACAACAAUAAAUUAUAGCUAGUGUUAAUGUUAUUAUUCUUAAUAACAAAACAUAAUAUAAUUUUGGCUUGCUAUUGAAUAUAUUAUUGCUGUGGUGGUAAUUUUGCAUAUAGGGUAAUUAAUGAUGAUUAUAAUUUUGUAGAAUGGAGCCUAGCUAGGUUGACUAUACUUAGCAUCCUGUUAGGCAAAUAACACUUCCUUAUAUUUGUAUGGCAGUUUACAAUUUUCAAAACUCUUAUUUGUUCUACACAACAUUCCUCUAAGGUAGGCAAGGCACAUAUAAUUUUCCCUGUUUUACAAUUGAGGAGCUGAAGCUUAGAUUAAUUGACUUGUCCAAGGUCAUAUGGCUUAUAAGUGAUUAAUCAAGUCUCACAUAUAAUUAAGAUUCUCACUGAACCUAGAUUGACCCUCAUUGUGGGAAGGAACAGAGAAUAAAAUUUGACUGUAAUUGUCUAGUUUUCAUUUACCUUUAGGCAUUUUAUAGUUUCUUGUGGUUGCUUCCAUUCAAGUCAGCUGAACACUGGCUUUGUGAGGUUUUAGUAAUAUGUUAGAUUGAUCACAUUCAUGCCCUUGUGAAAUCAAUCCCUUUCUUUUGAUUUUGGGCUGGGCCUGUAGCUUGCCUUAACCAACAGAAAACAGCAUGAAAGCAGUUCCAGGUCUGGAUAAUAGCUUUAAGAAGGCCUGGCAACUUCUGCUUUUGUGUUUUUGGGAGACUGAAUCAUCCUGUAAGAAAUCUUACUUUCCUCCUGGAAAGAUCAUGUGGAAAAGAGGCCACAUGGAGAGAGUAGAGUCAUUGAAAUUACAAGGAGAGAGAAGGCCAGCCAUUCUACUAUCCUAGCUGAGUACACUUCCCACCUGCCAGCUGAAAGCAGUUAUUAUAAAUGACCACCAGCAAGAUGAGAAGAACUGCCUAGCUGAGCCUUGCCCAGAUUUCAGAAUUAUGAGCAAAUAAAAUGGUUAUUAUUUUGAGCCAAUAAGUUUGAGGUGGUUUGUUACACAAGAAUGUGAAAGCAAAAGUAGCACAAUGUUCUUGAAAAUAGAAGGUUUGAUAAAAGAUUUUAUUUCUCUUGGCCUACUUUGAUACUUUUGGUCUUUCCCUGGCUUGCCAAUAUCCCCUAACAUAGAAGAGAGUUAAUAGUAAUGAAUUACUCUUUUCUCUUCCAGUAGCUCAUGAGAUUGGCCUAUACUUGCGUGGAAUAUGAGAGAUGCCAUCUCGCUAUGCUGCCCAGAUUCGUCUCAAGCAAUCCUCCUAAUGUGCUGGGACUACAGAACAUAUCCCUGACAUUAAGCAACACAUUGCUGUGACUAUAAAGUAUAAGUGCUUUGAAGAAGACACACAGGGCUGAGACAGAGAACUGCAUUUGCAGCAAGAAAGGAGGGAUAAGGUAAGGGUAAGAGCACUUACUGCACUGCUCUCCAAAGAGGUGAUAUUUAUGUUUAGACUUGAAGGAUUAGGGAAGGAUGUUCCUAUCAGGGAAAGGAAUAUAUACAAAGGCCUUGAAGUAUAAAGAAUAUGAAAUGCUUAAGGAAAUAAAAGAUGAUCCUUGUGGAUGAACAUAAGAGUUUAGGGUGAAUUGAUGAAGAACUAGCUCUUGUUCUGUGUACAUGAACCAAGAGUACAGACUGAAUUUGUAACCUUUAUUAGGAAUGUUAAAGACACUCUUAAUUUGGUAAGCUUGAAUGCUAAGGUGAACAUAAAGAAGAAUGAGCUCCAUAAAGAAUAGCAUACUUAAUAAUGACAUAAGGCAGAGCAUGACAUUCUAUAAGAAUCUUAUUCUUUAUUUAUUCAUUUGUUCCUUGAGUAUUUAUUGAGUACUUUAUUAUACGAGAUCUGUCUGGAAAGUGUCCAACCAUUGUUAAUGUAAUCAGAAUGGUUUGUGCAACAUUGAUAUAACCUGGCGGCCAAGGACAGUAGACUGGAAUGCACAUGUGUGAACAAUGGCAAUUUCACUGUAGUAGUCAGUGGGGUGCUAAUUGCUGUUGGGUGAACAUGUAUACUGUAUGACCAUCACAGUCAAAAUGACUGUGCGAGUAGAGUGACGAGUCUUUUUAUCAAAUUUUGCGUUAAGCUAGAAUGAACAUUCCUCGGUGGAUUUGGAUGAUUCAGAAUGCUUUUGGGGAUGAUGCAAUGAGUGCAGCACAAAUAAAAGUGUGGCACAACCGCUUCAAAGAUGGCCGAGAAUCUGUUGAAUGGAUCCACAUUCUGGAAGGCCUGCAACAAGAAGAACACCUGAGAAUAUUGAACAUGUAUGGGUUAGGUUAGGAGACCCUGGGAGAACUGUGUGAGGUCCCAAGGUGCCUACUUUCAAUAGCUAAGCAAUCUUUUUCCUAUGUACAGUGUUUCUUGUAUCUUUUUCAAUAAAUGUCUCUAUUUUUCCUAUUCCAUGGCUGGAUACUUUCCAGACAAACCUCGUAUGUCAGGCACUGUUCUAGGCACUGAGGCUACACAGUAAAUAAUUAGAUAGGACCUCUCUUCUCAUAGAGCUUUCAGAACCUUGCUGUUCAAAUAUAUGAUCCUCAGAGCAGCAUCACCAUACAUCAAUUGUGAGAUUGUUGGAAAUGCAGAAUCUCAGGGCCCACCCAGACCUGCUGAAUCAGAAUCUGCAUUAAGAUCCCAUGUGAUUAGAGGUAUGCAUAGUAAAGAUUGAGAAGUACUGUUCUGGAGUAGGGGUUGGCAGGCUAUGGCCUGCAGGCCAAAUCCGGCUGGCAACCUGUUUUUGUAAAUAUUUUAAUGGGACUGCUGUGCCCAUUCGUUUACAUAUUGUCUAUGACUGCUUUCAUAGUACAGUGGUUGACCUGAGUAGUUUUGACAGGGAUUCUAUGGCUCACAAACCCUAAAAUGUUUACAUUUGGCCUUUUACAGAGUAAGUGUGCCACCCUUUGUUCUAGACCAUAAAACAAAUUGCAGGACAGAGAUUUUUACUUAUUUGAUUAUGAAAAGUUCUAUGAAAUAGAAUAUGUUUGAUCUUUUCUGAAAAGUGGUGUUUUAACACAUUUUUAGCCUGUAAUCUGUAAUCCAAAUGAAAUACAGUUGACCUUUGAACAACACAGGGACUAGGGGCAUUGACCCCCUGAACAGCUGAAAGCCACAAAUAAUUUUUGACUCCUCCCAAACUUAACUACUAAUAGCCUAGCCUUGACUGGAAGCCUUUUGAUAAAAAACAAUUAACACAAAUUUUGCAUGUUAUAAAUAUUGUAUUCUGUGUUCUUAUAAUAAAGUAAGCUAGAGAAAGAAAAUCAUAAGAGAAAAUAUAUUCACUAUUCAUUAAAUAGA